rnacentral:rRNA from 1 species
GACGAACGCUGGCGGCGUGCCUAAUACAUGCAAGUAGAACGCUGAAGAGAGGAGCUUGCUCUUCUUGGAUGAGUUGCGAACGGGUGAGUAACGCGUAGGUAACCUGCCUGGUAGCGGGGGAUAACUAUUGGAAACGAUAGCUAAUACCGCAUAAAAUUGAUUAUUGCAUGAUAGUCAAUUGAAAGGUGCAACUGCACCACUACCAGAUGGACCUGCGUUGUAUUAGCUAGUUGGUGGGGUAACGGCUCACCAAGGCGACGAUACAUAGCCGACCUGAGAGGGUGAUCGGCCACACUGGGACUGAGACACGGCCCAGACUCCUACGGGAGGCAGCAGUAGGGAAUCUUCGGCAAUGGACGGAAGUCUGACCGAGCAACGCCGCGUGAGUGAAGAAGGUUUUCGGAUCGUAAAGCUCUGUUGUAAGAGAAGAACGAGUGUGAGAGUGGAAAGUUCACACUGUGA